CGAACUCUGCGUAUGUGAUUGGUGCUUGCAUCAUGAUUUACAUUUGAGUGAGUGGCGAACUGGUGAGUAACACGUGGGAAACCUGCCCAGAAGCGGGGGAUAACACCUGGAAACAGAUGCUAAUACCGCAUAACAACUUGGACCGCAUGGUCCGAGCUUGAAAGAUGGCUUCGGCUAUCACUUUUGGAUGGUCCCGCGGCGUAUUAGCUAGAUGGUGGGGUAACGGCUCACCAUGGCAAUGAUACGUAGCCGACCUGAGAGGGUAAUCGGCCACAUUGGGACUGAGACACGGCCCAAACUCCUACGGGAGGCAGCAGUAGGGAAUCUUCCACAAUGGACGAAAGUCUGAUGGAGCAACGCCGCGUGAGUGAAGAAGGGUUUCGGCUCGUAAAACUCUGUUGUUAAAGAAGAACAUAUCUGAGAGUAACUGUUCAGGUAUUGACGGUAUUUAACCAGAAAGCCACGGCUAACUACGUGCCAGCAGCCGCGGUAAUACGUAGGUGGCAAGCGUUGUCCGGAUUUAUUGGGCGUAAAGCGAGCGCAGGCGGUUUUUUAAGUCUGAUGUGAAAGCCUUCGGCUCAACCGAAGAAGUGCAUCGGAAACUGGGAAACUUGAGUGCAGAAGAGGACAGUGGAACUCCAUGUGUAGCGGUGAAAUGCGUAGAUAUAUGGAAGAACACCAGUGGCGAAGGCGGCUGUCUGGUCUGUAACUGACGCUGAGGCUCGAAAGUAUGGGUAGCAAACAGGAUUAGAUACCCUGGUAGUCCAUACCGUAAACGAUGAAUGCUAAGUGUUGGAGGGUUUCCGCCCUUCAGUGCUGCAGCUAACGCAUUAAGCAUUCCGCCUGGGGAGUACGGCCGCAAGGCUGAAACUCAAAGGAAUUGACGGGGGCCCGCACAAGCGGUGGAGCAUGUGGUUUAAUUCGAAGCUACGCGAAGAACCUUACCAGGUCUUGACAUACUAUGCAAAUCUAAGAGAUUAGACGUUCCCUUCGGGGACAUGGAUACAGGUGGUGCAUGGUUGUCGUCAGCUCGUGUCGUGAGAUGUUGGGUUAAGUCCCGCAACGAGCGCAACCCUUAUUAUCAGUUGCCAGCAUUAAGUUGGGCACUCUGGUGAGACUGCCGGUGACAAACCGGAGGAAGGUGGGGAUGACGUCAAAUCAUCAUGCCCCUUAUGACCUGGGCUACACACGUGCUACAAUGGAUGGUACAACGAGUUGCGAACUCGCGAGAGUAAGCUAAUCUCUUAAAGCCAUUCUCAGUUCGGAUUGUAGGCUGCAACUCGCCUACAUGAAGUCGGAAUCGCUAGUAAUCGCGGAUCAGCAUGCCGCGGUGAAUACGUUCCCGGGCCUUGUACACACCGCCCGUCACACCAUGAGAGUUUGUAACACCCACAAGUCGGUGGGGUA
rnacentral:rRNA from 1 species